AUUGAACGCUGGCGGCAGGCCUAACACAUGCAAGUCGAGCGAGCGGCGGACGGGUGAGUAAUGUCUGGGAAACUGCCUGAUGGAGGGGGAUAACUACUGGAAACGGUAGCUAAUACCGCAUACUAUCAGAUGUGCCCAGAUGGGAUUAGCUAGUAGGUGAGGUAAUGGCUCACCUAGGCGACGAUCCCUCGCUGGUCUGAGAGGAUGAACAGCCAGACUGGAACGGAGACACGGUCCAGACUCCUACGGGAGGCAGCAGUGGGAAAUAUUGCACAAUGGGCGCAAGCCUGAUGCAGCCAUGCCGCGGGUGUGAAGAAGGCCUUCGGGUUGUAAAGCACAUUCAGCGGGGAGGCGUUACCCGCAGAAGAAGCACCGGCUAAGUCCGUGCCAGCAGCCGCGGUAAUAC
rnacentral:rRNA from 1 species